rnacentral:lncRNA from 1 species
CUGCUUCCCCCCCCUUCCCCCCCCCCUUUUCUCCCGGCCGACGGAGCUGAAGGGGCGGGGGUUCCUUCCUUGGAGUGUUUCUAGAGCUCGGAGGCUGCUGGUAGGGGGGCACCACUUUCAGAUAAAAACAUAGACCUGAAUGGCAUCAUCCAGUAUCCAAGGAAACCAUUGUGUCUGUAACCAGCUAAUGAGCUGCAACAGAGCCUGGCCUUCAUUUUCAGCAAAUUAAGUUCAUCCCUCAUAGGAAUUGUGGUCUGGCUGUGGCACCGCUCCUAGACAUGACAAACUCCAAAAGGAAACCCAAGCAGCUAUUUGGCUCCCUUAAUUAAUGAAGUCGCCCAGUAUGGAUAAUUCAGGUUCUCUAAACAUGAAUAUGCCUUUGGGGGAA